rnacentral:rRNA from 1 species
AAUCUACCCUUUGGUACGGGAUAGCUCCGGGAAACUGGAAUUAAUACCGUAUGUGGCUUUUGAGCGAAAGAUUUAUCGCCAAAGGAUGAGCCCGCGUCCGAUUAGCUAGUUGGUGGGGUAAAGGCCUACCAAGGCGACGAUCGGUAGCUGGUCUAAGAGGAUGAUCAGCCACAUUGGGACUGAGACACGGCCCAAACUCCUACGGGAGGCAGCAGUGGGGAAUAUUGGACAAUGGGCGCAAGCCUGAUCCAGCCAUGCCGCGUGAGUGAUGAAGGUCUUAGGAUUGUAAAGCUCUUUCACCGGGGACGAUAAUGACGGUACCCGGAGAAGAAGCCCCGGCUAACUUCGUGCCAGCAGCCGCGGUAAUACGAAGGGGGCUAGCGUUGUUCGGAAUUACUGGGCGUAAAGCGCACGUAGGCGGACAUUUAAGUCAGGGGUGAAAUCCCGGGGCUCAACCCCGGAACGGCCUUUGAUACUGGGUGUCUUGAGUUCGGAAGAGGUGAGUGGAAUUGCGAGUGUAGAGGUGAAAUUCGUAGAUAUUCGCAGGAACACCAGUGGCGAAGGCGGCUCACUGGUCCGAUACUGACGCUGA